CAGUCGAACGGUGAUGCCCAGCUUGCUGGGCGGAUCAGUGGCGAACGGGUGAGUAACACGUGAGUAACCUGCCCCAGACUCCGGGAUAAGCCUUGGAAACGAGGUCUAAUACUGGAUAUGAGAUGCCCCUGCAUGGGGAGUGUCUGGAAAGAUUUAUCGGUCUGGGAUGGACUCGCGGCCUAUCAGCUUGUUGGUGGGGUAAUGGCCUACCAAGGCGACGACGGGUAGCCGGCCUGAGAGGGCGACCGGCCACACUGGGACUGAGACACGGCCCAGACUCCUACGGGAGGCAGCAGUGGGGAAUAUUGCACAAUGGGCGAAAGCCUGAUGCAGCGACGCCGCGUGAGGGAUGAAGGCCUUCGGGUUGUAAACCUCUUUCAGCAGGGAAGAAGCGCAAGUGACGGUACCUGCAGAAGAAGCGCCGGCUAACUACGUGCCAGCAGCCGCGGUAAUACGUAGGGCGCAAGCGUUGUCCGGAAUUAUUGGGCGUAAAGAGCUCGUAGGCGGUUUGUCGCGUCUGGUGUGAAAACUCAAGGCUCAACCUUGAGCUUGCAUCGGGUACGGGCAGACUAGAGUGCGGUAGGGGUGACUGGAAUUCCUGGUGUAGCGGUGGAAUGCGCAGAUAUCAGGAGGAACACCGAUGGCGAAGGCAGGUCACUGGGCCGCAACUGACGCU
rnacentral:rRNA from 1 species